CUCCAAAAGCCCCAAGUUCGCCCCUGAUGUGUUAGGUGUCCCUUUCAGUGGCCUCCCUCUCCCCUGACUACGGUUGAGUGGGAGGGGGCUACUGUAGGGGAAGAGGGAGGCCAGCCCUGUGGAGAGCUCCAGUACACUAGGUCAUCUGUAUUUAACGUGUCCAGCAUUAUGAUAACCCAUUUUAGAAAUACUCAUGGAAUGGUUAUAACACCCCUGUGAGGGAGGUGGCAUCAUUUUUACAGAUAAAGGAAACUGAAGUAGACAUUAAGGGCCCCAGAGGGAUUUGAACCUAGGAUGCCUGGUUUGGGGGAUGUUCACCGCAGGUGCUGCUGACAUAAAUCAAGAUGCUUAAUUCUGGGUUCCGUCUUGGAGUGGCGCUGGAGAAGAGGGUCAGCAUCGACAGCAGGGCUGGCUGCCCACUCUGUCCUGUUUGCUCAGCUGUAAAAUGAGCAGAAGAGGUGCCUCCCGCUCCCACAAUCCUGUCUGGGGUCGGACCCUGAGUGGCAAGGAGAGAUCCCCUUCCGAGGAGAAGGAAGAGGCUGGCAGAGUGGGAAAGACUGAGGUAUAAGGAAAGCGAUCAGAAGCAAAGGACCUGUGAUCUUGUUUGCAAGCACAGUGCUUGUCCCUGAUACCCCAUGGGUGAACAUGUAUGGACUCCUCGCACACAAUGUAUGGACUUCAAUGCUCGAGGGACACGUGUCAUCUCCUGUAAUACCCAGACAGCCUCCAACCUCUUUGUCAUUUUAAGGCAGACCAGACUAUGGAAAUGAUGUUAGACAAAAAGCAAAUCUGAGCAAUUUUCUUACUUGAAUACAAAAUGGGUCGUAAAGCAGCAGAGACAAUUGGCAACAUCAACAACACAUCUGGCCCAGGAAUGCACAGUGCAAUGGUGAUUCAAGAAGUUUUGCAAAGGAGAUGAGAGGCUUGAAGAUGAGGAGUGCAGUGGCUGGCCAUCGGAAGGUGACAACAACCAAUUGAGAGCAGUCACUGAGGCUGAUCCUCUUACAACUACACCAAAAGUUGCCAAAGAACUCAGUGUCAGCUAUUCUACAGUUGUUCGGCAUUUAAAGUAAAUUGGAAAGGUGAAAAGGCUUGGUAAGUGGGUGCCUCAUGAGCUGACUGCAAAUCAAAAAUAUCGUCAUGUUGAAGUGUCAUCUUUUCUUAUUCUAUGCAACAACAACCAACCAUUUCUCAAUUGGGAUUGUGACCUGCAAUGAAAAGUGAACUGCAUACAACAACCAGCAAUGACCAGCUCAGUGGUUGGAGUGAGAAGAAGCUCCAAAGCACUUACCAAAGCCAAACUUGCGCCAAAAAAAGGUCAUGGUCACUGUUUGGUGGCCUGCUGCUGGUCUGAUCCACUGCAGCUUUCUGAAUCCUGGUGAAACCAUUAUAUCUGAGAAGUAUGCUCAGCAAAUCAGUGAAAUCACCAAAAACUGCAGCCGGUAUCAGUCAACAGAAAGGGCCUGACGAAAGGUCGCACAACCAAAAGUUGAAGGAAUCGGGCUACGAUGUUUCGCCUCAUCCGCCAUAUUCACCUGACCUCGGCCAACCAACUACUACUUCUUCAAUCAUCUUGACAACUUUUUGCAGGAAAAACACUUCCACAACCAGCAGGAUACAGAAAAUGCUUUCCAAGAGUUCGUUGAUUUCUGAAGCAUUGAUUUUUAUGCUACAGGAGUAAGCAAACUUAUUUCUAGUUGGCAAAAAUGUGUUGAUUGUAAAGGUUCCUGUUUUGAUUAAUAAAGAUGUGUUUGAGCCUAGUUAUAAUGACUUAAAA
ensembl:lncRNA